rnacentral:rRNA from 1 species
GUGCACGCUGGCGGUAGGCCUAACCCCUGCCAGUCGAACGGCAGCACAGUAAGAGCUUGCUCUUACGGGUGGCGAGUGGCGGACGGGUGAGGAAUACAUCGGAAUCUACUUUUUCGUGGGGGAUAACGUAGGGAAACUUACGCUAAUACCGCAUACGACCUACGGGUGAAAGCAGGGGAUCUUCGGACCUUGCGCGAUUGAAUGAGCCGAUGUCGGAUUAGCUAGUUGGCGGGGUAAAGGCCCACCAAGGCGACGAUCCGUAGCUGGUCUGAGAGGAUGAUCAGCCACACUGGAACUGAGACACGGUCCAGACUCCUACGGGAGGCAGCAGUGGGGAAUAUUGGACAAUGGGCGCAAGCCUGAUCCAGCCAUACCGCGUGGGUGAAGAAGGCCUUCGGGUUGUAAAGCCCUUUUGUUGGGAAAGAAAAGCAGCAGGUUAAUACCCCGCUGUUCCGACGGUACCCAAAGAAUAAGCACCGGCUAACUUCGUG